rnacentral:rRNA from 1 species
AACGUAGGUGGCAAGCGUUAUCCGGAAUUACUGGGCGUAAAGGGUGUGCAGGCGGGGUUGCAAGUGGUGUAUGAAAUAUCCCAGCUUAGACGUGGAGGGGUUAUGCCAGACUGCAACUCUAGAGGACGAGAGAGGGGGGUGGAAUUCCGGGUGUAGUGGUGAAAUGCGUAGAGAUCCGGAGGAACCCCAGAGGCGAAGGCGGCCCCCUGGCUCGUACCUGACGCUCAGCCACGAAAGCAUGAGGAGCGAACGGG